AGGAGAGCCAGCGCAGGCGCAGUUAGUUGGUGUCCUCCGAAGGUUGACUUCCUUCUAAUUCGAAUCUUCAGACAAAUAAGAAUUGCUGUCUAAAAGAACUUGGAGGAAGAUCUACUUGGAUUCUAGUCCUGGCUCUUAGGUAAGUCUGGAUCUUAGUUUCCUCAGAAAUAAAAUAAAGGGAGAAUGGACUGAAUUUUCUUUCUUGUCAUUCCAUGCAUGACUCUCUGACAUUUUCUGGUAAAGAAUGAGGGUGGGGGAGGUAACGCAGCCUCUGUGAGCCACUUGAGAGCAAGAGGUUGUAUCUUUGUAGCCUUAGCACCUUAAUACAGUGGGGGUCAGUAACCGUUCAGGAGACUUGUGGAUGAGAAUGCCUUGAGAUUCAAAAACCCCAGAUUUGAAUGCACAUAUUGGUGGUACUGACUUUGGGUGACUGAGCAAAUCUGGUUCAGAGCACCUUAGCAUCCCUGUCUGCAAAAAAGCUGGAGUGAGAUUUAUAACAACCUUACACCUCUCCGGAAUGAAUGAAUCGCUAUGAGUGAACCUACAGUUGUGCAGAUGAAAAGAACUCUGUGUGUGUUCAAGACCUUGGGUUAUCUGUUAACUGAAAUUUGCUUCCUAGGCGGGUGCAGGGUGAGCAUGUAUUGCUUACCCUAACUUUAGACAAAAGGCUACCAAGAAUAGACUAUGAUUCUUUCAUUUGCUUCAUUUUUUGAUGAGAUUGUGCAGAAAGCUUUAGCCUGGGACAGUGAUUCUUUCUGGCUAAUGCAGUAAUCAAACAAGUCUUGCUGCUCUCCUCAGCAGAAACAAAUCAAUUUAGAAACCCACAUGGGAAUUUACUGUUUCCUCUGUACAGACCAGGUUCAAGGCCAUCUCAUUCUAGCAGCUGAAAUCAAGCAGAAAUCCUUGGAGAACCGUGUCAUAAAGCCCCAUUCACUUUUAGCUGAUUGAAAAUGUAAAAACAGAGCCCACAUACCUAGUAUGCUAUUUUAAAAAAAGAUUCCUUUAUUCCUUGGUUAAUUAAAAAAAAAUUCAUUCAUACCAUUGCUCAUCUUUUCAAAAAAUAUAUCGAAGUAGUUCAGUUAAAGACAUUUAACCAUUCGAAAUUAUAAAUGAAGUCAUUUCCUUCCCUCACUUCCCAGCCACCCGCCUUCUCCCCUCCCCUCCCCACUCCCCAUUACUGAGAUCCCUAGGUUAGCACUCCAGACAGCAUUCUGGCCUACAUAUAUCCCGUGCUAUUUCUUCUGCCUGGUGAGUUAAAAAAGGGAGUGAAAGCAGUUUUCCUAUCAAGAAAAGCUGCAGCUUUGAAAAAGUCCUUCCUGGGGAGGGAGCAGCAAAUCUUAUCAGCCUAAAGAUCUUAACUCCUUAGCUCUGAGCCUGCCGGGUUCAGAGAUGGGCUGGCAGAGUUCGCUGCCUUCUGCGGGCUACACUCGGUGAGCCUGGAUCAGUUAGAGGAGGCAGGGAUGAAUCCUUAGCGAUCUGAAAAGAAAUAAAACAAAUUAAUGCCAAAAUAAGCUGACAGUGGGAUAGGGGAAUGAUUGCCUAUGUCAGCCUACCAAUUAAAAAACCACUGCUUUUAGGAUACGUAAAGGUGGCCAUUAUGUAUUGUUAUUACAGGAUGUAAUAAAACACAGCUUGAUUCUACUUUUGUGGGGGGUUUUUUUGUUUGAAUGGAGGUCAUGGGGAAUGUACCCAGCAUCUUAUGCAUGCUAAGCGUGCGCUCUACCACUGAGCUGUACCCCAACCCUGAUUCAACUUUUGUAAGAACAGAUUUAGUUAUACCAGAAUAUUAAAUUUUGGUUAUCUCAGUGGUGGGAUCAUGGGUAAUUUGUAUUCAAAUCCUUCUUAUCUGUAUCAUCUAAACUCUCUACAAUAAAUAUGUAUUAUUCUAGUAAUAAGAAGCUACAUAAAAAGUGAUUGUACCAAGGGGACUUCUUGGGGGCUGGCCACAUUCUGUUCCUUGAUCUAGAAGUUGUCCACUCAUGAUACGAGCAAUUCUCUGUAUGUAUAGUGUACUUCAGUUAAAAUGGUUUUCAAACAGUGGUUUUCUGGGAACUCUCAUUCAUUGCUGGUGGGAAUGCAGAAUGGUACAGCCACUUUGGAAGGCACUUUGGCUGUUUCUUACAAAACUAAACAUACUUUAGACAUAUGAUCCAGCAGUCUCACUCCUUGAUACUGACCCAGAUGAGUUGAAAACUUACAUCCACACAAAAACCUACACAUGGAUGUUUAUAGCGGCUUUAUUCGUAACUGCCAAAAAGUUGGAAGCAACCACGAUGUCCUUUAGUAGAUAAAUGAUAAAUACUGAGUGAGUGUAUGCAGCAACUGUAUUUGGGAAUUCUCUGCACUUUCUGCUCACAGUUCUGCUGUGAACCUCAGACUGCUCUAAAAAAAUAAAGUCUAAUUUAAAAAAAGUGGCUGUACGCCUCUGGGAAUAUAUUAAAGACUGUUGAAUUGUACGUAAUAAGUGAGUGAACUAUAUGAUAUGUGAACUAUAUCUCAAAGCUGUUAUUUUUUUUUAAAGUAGUUGUAUUCAUAGGUUAAAACAGAUACAAAGUACUGACAUGCUACACUAUGGAUGAACCUGGAAAACAUUAUGCUAAGUGGAGAAGCCAGACAUAAAAGGCUAUAUAUUGUAUGAAAUGUCCAGAAUAGGCAAAAACAGAAAGAUUAGUUGUUGCCUGGGACUAGGGGAGUGGGGAAUGGGGAAUUGCUAAUGGGUCCAAGGUUUCUUCUUGGGAUGAUGAAAACGUUGUGGAAUUAGACAGUGGUGAUUAACCUGUGCCUUCCUGAGUGUACUAAAACAUGUUGAUUGUAUGCUUUUAAAGGAUGAACUUUAUGGUCUGUGAAUUAUCUCUCAAUAAAGCUGUUUUUUUAAAAAUGGGGAAAAAAAGACAAUGGCAGAUUUUGGAACAUUGUCUUAAAUAGCUAUGUGCCUAGAAUCUGGAAAAUCACAGUCUUUCGAACAAUAUAACUUAAUGUACAUUAAAAAAUUAGUUUUGAUUAAGAAUGCCCAUAUGUUAAGAAGCCUAGAACCUCUCUCGUCGGUGCUCCCAGUUGAGUGGGAACUGGAGUCUGAUACCUGAGAAGGCAUUUUACCAUUAGCAGCGGAAUUCAAGGGAACAUCCCAGGUUCUUGCUCGAGAAUAUCCGGCUGUGGUCAGUGCGGGUCUAUUAAAGGCAGCAACUCUCCGCAUGGAGAAUCCAGUUUCAAACACGCCAAGUCAUCCGACCGCGUGGGCCCGAUGUUCAGGAUUGCGAUCGGUAGCUUCUUCUCCCAGGCAGUGAGGAUAAACCUGUAACCAGAGUACACCUGUCCGAGAGGAAGGCGCCGGUAAGAACUCUCUAGGCACAGGAAGAGAGAAAGCAAAUGGGGAGGCUCUCCAGGGCUCCCCAAACGGGCAUUUCCCCACUCCCCCUCCCCAAGUUACCUGCAAGGAGGAUCCCACCACCAGGAGGGAGUCGGCUUCUUUUACACGCUUGUGCACAAAAUCAACCUUGUCAGGGUUCACCGUGCCCCCGAAGAAGACGACGUCUGGUUUCAGGGGGCCUCCACAGCGAGAGCAGCACGGGACCUGGAAGCUCUGUACCUGCUCGUCGGUGAGGAAGACAUCCCCGUCGGGAGCCAGGCCGUGGGCCUCGGCACUCCAGGUGGGGUUCAGGACUUCAAAACGCUCCUGCAGCGCCGUGCGGGGCGUCUGCUCACCACAGUCCAAGCAGAGGACCCUGAAACCCAAGAAGAGGCCGACUGAACAGUCUGUCCUGGGGAGGCACCAGGCUGCCGAAGACAUUUCAUCCCCAACCACUUCCAGCCCCUCCACCAUCACUUUCUUUUCCUGACACCUGUGUCUUCCCCAUGUUCAAAAUACCUUCCUGUGACCUCUUUAGCUGCCACCUUCCUUCCACUGACAAUCUACUAGAACAACAAACAUCUGUUUCCUUACUACACACUCCCUGCUCAGAUCUGCUUGCUCACUUUUAUCCUUAACACAACUGCAAAGGCUUUACCAAUUUCCUUCCUGCUGAGACCAGGGUUUUUUCCCUUCCAUCCCUUGCUCUCCAUUCAUCUGCUGUAAAUUAUCACUGUUCACCACCAUCUUCUCUUUAAAACGCUUUCGCUCCCUUGGUGUCUGUGACAGUGUCUUCUGCUUCUCUUGUCACCUCCCUCGCCACCAGAACACAGGCUCUGUCAGGGCAAGACCUUGGAGUCCUUUGCCCACUGCUCUGUGCCCACCACCCAGAACAGUGCCUGCACACAGCAGGCACUCAGUAGCUGCUGGAAGAAAGAAUGGAAGUUGAUUCCUCCUCUGCUCCUCAAGUCUCCUCAAACUCUAGUCCAAGUCUCUGUGACAGUCCUGCCAAACUUAACUUCCAUCUUCAACCAGCCCUCCCCAAGUUCUCCAUCACUGUCAGUCCUCCAGUUACCUGGGCUGAAACCCUCAGGAAAAAAACUUGUUAUUCAUUUUAUUUUACUCUUUGGGGGGGGGGGGACUAGGUUUUUAUGUAUUUAUCUUUUUAAUAAAUAUUUAAAAUUAUUUAUUUAUUAUUAA